rnacentral:rRNA from 1 species
GACGAACGCUGGCGGCGUGCUUAACACAUGCAAGUCGAACGGAAAGGCCCUGCUUUUGUGGGGUGCUCGAGUGGCGAACGGGUGAGUAACACGUGAGUAACCUGCCCUUGACUUUGGGAUAACUUCAGGAAACUGGGGCUAAUACCGGAUAGGAGCUCCUGCUGCACGGUGGGGGUUGGAAAGUUUCGGCGGUUGGGGAUGGACUCGCGGCUUAUCAGCUUGUUGGUGGGGUAGUGGCUUACCAAGGCUUUGACGGGUAGCCGGCCUGAGAGGGUGACCGGCCACAUUGGGACUGAGAUACGGCCCAGACUCCUACGGGAGGCAGCAGUGGGGAAUAUUGCACAAUGGGCGGAAGCCUGAUGCAGCAACGCCGCGUGCGGGAUGACGGCCUUCGGGUUGUAAACCGCUUUCGCCUGUGACGAAGCGUGAGUGACGGUAAUGGGUAAAGAAGCACCGGCUAACUACGUGCCAGCAGCCGCGGUGAUACGUAGGGUGCGAGCGUUGUCCGGAUUUAUUGGGCGUAAAGGGCUCGUAGGUGGUUGAUCGCGUCGGAAGUGUAAUCUUGGGGCUUAACCCUGAGCGUGCUUUCGAUACGGGUUGACUUGAGGAAGGUAGGGGAGAAUGGAAUUCCUGGUGGAGCGGUGGAAUGCGCAGAUAUCAGGAGGAACACCAGUGGCGAAGGCGGUUCUCUGGGCCUUUCCUGACGCUGAGGAGCGAAAGCGUGGGGAGCGAACAGGCUUAGAUACCCUGGUAGUCCACGCUGUAAACGGUGGGUACUAGGUGUGGGGUCCACUCCACGGGUUCCGUGCCGUAGCUAACGCUUUAAGUACCCCGCCUGGGGAGUACGGCCGCAAGGCUAAAACUCAAAGGAAUUGACGGGGCCCCGCACAAGCGGCGGAGCAUGCGGAUUAAUUCGAUGCAACGCGUAGAACCUUACCUGGGUUUGACAUGGAUCGGGAGUGCUCAGAGAUGGGUGUGCCUCUUUUGGGGUCGGUUCACAGGUGGUGCAUGGCUGUCGUCAGCUCGUGUCGUGAGAUGUUGGGUUAAGUCCCGCAACGAGCGCAACCCUUGUUUACUGUUGCCAGCACGUUAUGGUGGGGACUCAGUGGAGACCGCCGGGGUCAACUCGGAGGAAGGUGGGGAUGACGUCAAGUCAUCAUGCCCCUUAUGUCCAGGGCUUCACGCAUGCUACAAUGGCUGGUACAGAGAGUGGCGAGCCUGUGAGGGUGAGCGAAUCUCGGAAAGCCGGUCUCAGUUCGGAUUGGGGUCUGCAACUCGACCUCAUGAAGUCGGAGUCGCUAGUAAUCGCAGAUCAGCAACGCUGCGGUGAAUACGUUCCCGGGGCU